UCCCAGUAAAGAAGCACUCAUAUGAGUUACCUCCUGUCCUGAGUCCAGAGCCUAUAAAGACUUGCUAGGGGAGAAGAGGAAAGUUUGUUCUGGAAGAAACUGUGUCAGAGAU